GACGAACGCUGGCGGCGUGCUUAACACAUGCAAGUCGAACGGAAAGGCCCUGCUUUUGUGGGUGCUCGAGUGGCGAACGGGUGAGUAACACGUGAGUAACCUGCCCUUGACUUUGGGAUAACUUCAGGAAACUGGGGCUAAUACCGGAUAGGAGCUCCUGCUGCAUGGUGGGGGUUGGAAAGUUUCGGCGGUUGGGGAUGGACUCGCGGCUUAUCAGCUUGUUGGUGGGGUAGUGGCUUACCAAGGCUUUGACGGGUAGCCGGCCUGAGAGGGUGACCGGCCACAUUGGGACUGAGAUACGGCCCAGACUCCUACGGGAGGCAGCAGUGGGGAAUAUUGCACAAUGGGCGGAAGCCUGAUGCAGCAACGCCGCGUGCGGGAUGACGGCCUUCGGGUUGUAAACCGCUUUCGCCUGUGACGAAGCGUGAGUGACGGUAAUGGGUAAAGAAGCACCGGCUAACCACGUG
rnacentral:rRNA from 1 species